rnacentral:rRNA from 1 species
UACGGAGGGUGCAAGCGUUAUCCGGAAUCACUGGGUUUAAAGGGCGCGUAGGCGGCUUAAUAAGUCAGAGGUGAAAGGCUGUGGCUCAACCAUGGGAUUGCCUUUGAUACUGUUAGGCUUGAAUCAGGCUGAGGUUGGCAGAAUGUGGCAUGUAGCGGUGAAAUGCAUAGAGAUGCCAUAGAAUACCGAUUGCGAAGGCAGCUGACUGGCCCGUGAUUGACGCUGAGGCACGAAAGCGUGGGGAGCGAACAGC